ACCCCGGCGAGGGGAGUGAAAAAGAACCUGAAACCGUGUACGUACAAGCAGUGGGAGCCUCUUAAUGGGGUGACUGCGUACCUUUUGUAUAAUGGGUCAGCGACUUAUAUUCUGUAGCAAGGUUAACCGAAUAGGGGAGCCGAAGGGAAACCGAGUCUUAACUGGGCGUUAAGUUGCAGGGUAUAGACCCGAAACCCGGUGAUCUAGCCAUGGGCAGGUUGAAGGUUGGGUAACACUAACUGGAGGACCGAACCGACUAAUGUUGAAAAAUUAGCGGAUGACUUGUGGCUGGGGGUGAAAGGCCAAUCAAACCGGGAGAUAGCUGGUUCUCCCCGAAAGCUAUUUAGGUAGCGCCUCGUGAAUUCAUCUCCGGGGGUAGAGCACUGUUUCGGCAAGGGGGUCAUCCCGACUUACCAACCCGAUGCAAACUGCGAAUACCGGAGAAUGUUAUCACGGGAGACACACGGCGGGUGCUAACGUCCGUCGUGAAGAGGGAAACAACCCAGACCGCCAGCUAAGGUCCCAAAGUCAUGGUUAAGUGGGAAACGAUGUGGGAAGGCCCAGACAGCCAGGAUGUUGGCUUAGAAGCAGCCAUCAUUUAAAGAAAGCGUAAUAGCUCACUGGUCGAGUCGGCCUGCGCGGAAGAUGUAACGGGGCUAAACCAUGCACCGAAGCUGCGGCAGCGACACUAUGUGUUGUUGGGUAGGGGAGCGUUCUGUAAGCCUGUGAAGGUGUGCUGUGAGGCAUGCUGGAGGUAUCAGAAGUGCGAAUGCUGACAUAAGUAACGAUAAAGCGGGUGAAAAGCCCGCUCGCCGGAAGACCAAGGGUUCCUGUCCAACGUUAAUCGGGGCAGGGUGAGUCGACCCCUAAGGCGAGGCCGAAAGGCGUAGUCGAUGGGAAACAGGUUAAUAUUCCUGUACUUGGUGUUACUGCGAAGGGGGGACGGAGAAGGCUAUGUUGGCCGGGCGACGGUUGUCCCGGUUUAAGCGUGUAGGCUGGUUUUCCAGGCAAAUCCGGAAAACCAAGGCUGAGGCGUGAUGACGAGGCACUACGGUGCUGAAGCGACAAAUGCCCUGCUUCCAGGAAAAGCCUCUAAGCAUCAGGUAACAUCAAAUCGUACCCCAAACCGACACAGGUGGUCAGGUAGAGAAUACCAAGGCGCUUGAGAGAACUCGGGUGAAGGAACUAGGCAAAAUGGUGCCGUAACUUCGGGAGAAGGCACGCUGAUAUGUAGGUGAAGCGACUUGCUCGUGGAGCUGAAAUCAGUCGAAGAUACCAGCUGGCUGCAACUGUUUAUUAAAAACACA
rnacentral:rRNA from 1 species